CCCGCACAAGCGGUGGAGCAUGUGGUUUAAUUCGAUGCAACGCGAAGAACCUUACCUGGUCUUGACAUCCACGGAAGUUUUCAGAGAUGAGAAUGUGCCUUCGGGAACCGUGAGACAGGUGCUGCAUGGCUGUCGUCAGCUCGUGUUGUGAAAUGUUGGGUUAAGUCCCGCAACGAGCGCAACCCCUUUAUCCCUUUGUUGCCAGCGGUCCGGCCGGGAACUCAAAGGAGACUGCCAGUGAUAAACUGGAGGAAGUGGGAUGACGUCAAGUCAUCAUGGCCCUUACGACCAGGGCUACACACGUGCUACAAUGGCGCAUACAAAGAGAAGCGACCUCGCGAGAGCAAGCGGACCUCAUAAAGUGCGUCGUAGUCCGGAUUGGAGUCUGCAACUCGACUCCAUGAAGUCGGAAUCGCUAGUAAUCGUGGAUCAGAAUGCCACGGUGAAUACGUUCCCGGGCCUU
rnacentral:rRNA from 1 species